AAGCUACUAAGAGCUUACGGUGGAUGCCUAGGCGCUAAGUGCCGACGAAGGACGUGGGACACUGCGAUAAGCCUCGGGAAGCUGUGAACAAGUGUUGAUCCGGGGAUGUCCGAAUUGGGAAACCAGCCGUUGUGAACCAGCGGCAUCAUAUGCUGAAUAUAUAGGCAUAUGAGGGGAACCUGGGGAACUGAAACAUCUAAGUACCCAGAGGAAAAGAGAUUAUUCCCUGAGUAGUGGCGAGCGAAAAGGGAGCAGCCCAAACCGACGUAGUUUACUAUGUCGGGGUUGUAGGGUCCAGCAAAUGAGAGUCAUAAAUUGAGAGGUUAGUGGAAUGGUAUGGAAUAGCCAGCCAAAGAAGGUGAGAGCCCUGUACGCGAAAACCGCUCAACUCUCGCAGGAUACCUGAGUACUGCCGGGCACGCUAAUCCGGCAGGAAGCUGGGGAGUCCACUCUCCAAGGCUAAAUACACUUUGCGACCGAUAGUGAACAAGUACCGUGAGGGAAAGGUGAAAAGUACCCCUGUUAGGGGAGUGAAAAGAACCUGAAACCGUAAGCUUACAAGCAGUCGAAGGGCUAUGAUAGGUUGGUGCUAUGGUGAAAGCCUGUGCGCACUAUAAUGCCUGACGGCGUGCCUUUUGGAGAAUGAGCCUGCGAGUUAAUUUCUGUGGCAAGGUUAAGGGAGUGACACCCGGAGCCGGAGCGAAAGCGAGUCUGAAUAGGGCGGCAGUCGCAGGGAUUAGACACGAAACCAGGUGAGCUACCCAUGGCCAGGUUGAAGCGGGUCUAAACGCCCGUGGAGGACCGAACCCACUAAUGUUGCAAAAUUAGGGGAUGAGCUGUGGGUAGGGGUGAUAUGCCAAACGAACCUGGAGAUAGCUUGUUCUCCCCGAAAUAGCUUUAGGGCUAGCGUCAUGUGUUAAAUAACGGAGGUAGAGCACUGAAUGGGCUAGGGGGCUCAGAGCUUACCAAACCCAAUCAAACUCCGAAUGCCGUUAUUCGAGAGCAUGGCAGUCGGACUCCGGGAGAUGAGUUUCGGGGUCGAAAGGGAAACAGCCCAGACCAUCGGCUAAGGUCCCCAAAUUCAAGCUAAGUGGGAAACGAUGUGAGGUUACUGAAACAACCAGGAGGUUUGCUUAGAAGCAGCAAUCCUUUAAAGAGUGCGUAAUAGCUCACUGGUCGAGUGAUCUUGCGCGGAAAAUUUAACGGGGCUAAGCUUGAUACCGAAGCCAUGGGUUCUAGAUUUUCUAGAGCGGUAGGGGAGCGUUCUGUUUGCUUUGAAGGUUGACCGUGAGGACAGCUGGAGCGGACAGAAGUGAGAAUGCAGGCAUGAGUAGCGUAAAACACGUGAGAACCGUGUUCACCGUAUGUCUAAGGUUUCCGACGCCAGGUCGUUCCGCGUCGGGUUAGUCGGGGCCUUAGCCGAGGCCGAGAGGCGUAGGCGAUGGAUAACCGGUCAACAUUCCGGUACCACUUAAAAUGAGCGAUGGAGGGACGCAUUGAGGUAGGCCAGCCUGAGAUUGGUCGUUCAGGUGAACCAUGUGUCAGACGUUGAGGCCCAUAGGAAAAUCCGUGGGCUGAGUUGAGACAUGGUUGCGAGUCUAUAAGACGUAAGUGAGUUGAGCCUUAGUGCCUAGAAAAGCUUCUAAGUGAUGAUUUUUAAGUGCCCGUACCGCAAUCCGACACAGGUAGACGGGUAGAGUAUACUCAGGUGAGCGGGAGAACCUUCGUUAAGGAACUCGGCAAUUUAGCCUCGUAACUUCGGGAUAAGAGGUGCCCUUUCAGGUGAAAAAUUUAUUUUGAGCCCGAGAGGGCCGCAGUGAAAUGGCUCAAGGGACUGGUUACCAAAACCACAGGUCUCUGCAAAACCGUAAGGUGAUGUAUAGGGGCUGACACCUGCCCAGUGCCGGAAGGUUAAAGGGAGAGGUUAGCGCAAGCGAAGCUUUGAACUGAAGCCCCGGUGAACGGCGGCCGUAACUAUAACGGUCCUAAGGUAGCGAAAUUCCUUGUCGGGUAAGUUCCGACCCGCACGAAUGGUGUAACAACUUGAGCAGUGUCUCAACGAAGGACCCGGCGAAAUUGAAAUGGCUGUAAAGAUGCGGCCUACCCGCAGUAGGACAAAGAGACCCCGUGGAACUUUACUGCAGCUUGAUAUUGAGUUUGAAUAUUAUUUGUGGAGAAUAGGUGGGAGGCUAUGAAGCCAGGGCGCCAGCCUUGGUGGAGCCAUCAGUGAAAUACCACCCUGGUAAUGUUUAGGCCCUAACCCUCGACCGUUAUCCGGCGAGGGGACAGUGUCUGGUGGGCAGUUUGACUGGGGCGGUCGCCUCCUAAAAGGUAACGGAGGCGCCCAAAGGUUCCCUCAGGCUGAAUGGAAACCAGCCAUUGAGUGUAAAGGCACAAGGGAGCUUGACUGUAAGACCAACGCGUCGAGCAGAGACGAAAGUCGGGCUUAGUGAUCCCACGCUUCUGAGUGGAAAGGGCGUGGCUCAUCGGAUAAAAGUUACCCCGGGGAUAACAGGCUAGUCAGGUCCAAGAGUCCAUAUCGACGACCUGGCUCGGCACCUCGAUGUCGGCUCAUCGCAUCCUGGGGCUGGAUAAGGUCCCAAGGGUCGGGCUGUUCGCCCGUUAAAGCGGUACGCGAGCUGGGUUCAGACCGUCGUGAGACAGGUCGGUCUCUAUCCACUGUGGGCGUAAGGGAUUUGAGGAGAGCUGCUCCUAGUACGAGAGGACCGGAGUGGACAGACCUCUAGUGUGCCAGUUGUCGUGCCAACGGCAUCGCUGGGUAGCUACGUCUGGCAGAGAUAACCGCUGAAAGCAUCUAAGCGGGAAACUCGCUUCAAGAUUAGAUCCCUCAUCCAGUAAAUGGAGUAAGAUCGCAGGAAGACCACCUGCUUGAUAGGCAGUAGGUGUAAGCGUAGCAAUGCGUUUAGCUUAACUGUACUAAUCGAUCGAGGGCUUCAA
rnacentral:rRNA from 1 species